UACAGAGGUGGCAAGCGUUGUUCGGAUUUACUGGGCGUAAAGGGCGCGUAGGCGGCCACCGCAAGUCAGUUGUGAAAUCUCUGGGCUUAACCCAGAAAGGUCAACUGAUACUGCGGGGCUAGAGUGCAGAAGGGGCAACUGGAAUUCUCGGUGUAGCGGUGAAAUGCGUAGAUAUCGAGAGGAACACCUGCGGCGAAGGCGGGUUGCUGGGCUGACACUGACGCUGAAGCGCGAAAGCUAGGGGAGCGAACGGG
rnacentral:rRNA from 1 species